rnacentral:lncRNA from 1 species
ACAUAAUCAUACUAUUACUAAAUAAUGAAAUUUUAGUAUAGGUAUAUUAAUUACAUUAGAUUGAAGACAAGAUGGUAUCUAUUUUUAAUUGCUUGCAUAUGACAGGAAUGAAAUGAAACUAAAUUAUAGCCAAAGUAAAAAAAAAUACAUCUGAAUCAUGCUGCUUAUUUGUACCAAACCAAGGAAAAAUUCUGACUAAUAUAAUCUGAAAGAUGAUCUUCAAGCUCAUUUAGCAGAAAUCAGACAAUUAAAAGGAGUCAGUGUAAUUAUAGAAAACUGAAUUAUUAUAGACUAGCUUCAUUUUUCUCUAGUAAAGGCAGUAAAUUAUUAGUAUAACAGUGAUAAUACAACCUCUUUGGCUGGCUUCAUGUUUUGCUGCUUUCUUCUACAACAUCAUCUAGUCUUGGGCUCCACAGUUCUUAAACCAAUCCUGACCAAGAUAGGCAUUACCUUUGUUUGGUAUACUUGCAUAUUAGGUUAAAACCCACAUAUUUCAGAUCUUAGCAUUAACCACAAUCUUUGUGUUUCCAAGUCCACUUCACUGAUAACAUGUCCAAAAAUUUGUUUUUCAAGCACCAAACCUACAUAGAGUCUCCUAUGCAGUGCAGAAUAGAGUUCAGGUUUUCACCUAGGUACGUAUGGGAUUUCAUUAUAUGAUGUUUCAUUUCAAUAUAUUACAAAAAAGAGGAAUUAGUCAUUUAGUGAUAUUCACAUUGGGUUAUUAUCUGAGAUAAAUUUGGGUAUAUUCUCUAUUUUUCCUUAUUAUUACUACCAGAACACAGCACAUUUUUAUAUAGGUAUGUCUAUUAUUUUUAGAUCUAUAUAUACACCAAAAUGUAUUAGUUUUCUAGAGAUGUCACAACAAAGGAACAAAAACUAGAUGGCUUAAAUAAUAGUUUAUUCCCUCACAGUUCCGGAGGCUGGAAGUCCAAGAUCGAGGUGUCAACAGGGUUGGCUUCUUCUGAGGCUUCCAACCUUGGCUGGUAGAUGGCCAUCUUCUGUGUCUUCACAUAGCCUUCCCUUUGUGUACUCUCUGUGCCCUAAUAUUCUCUCAUAAGGAAAACAGUUAUAUUGGCUCACGGCCUAUGCAUAUCCAUUUAUUAUACUUUAAACACUCCCUGACCCCCUUUAAAGGCCCUUUCUCCAAAUGUAGUCACAUUCUGAGGUACUGGUGGUCAGAACCUCAACCUAUGAAUUUUGAGGAGACAUGAUUUAGCAGAUAACACUAUAAUAAGACACAGAUACUCCUCAGGAUGUCUGAGGUCAAUCAUAAUAUCACAAAUUAAAGUUAUGCCAUCAUAAUGAACAAAAAAUACCUAGAAUCUUUAAAAAAAUUAGACAUUUUUAACUUAAAAUAAAUUUAAAAAAACUCUCCAUGGCACAAUUUAGCAAAGUGGAUAACACAUGAAGAUUCAGAUAGACAAUUGCAGUACAUGUACCUUAAAAUAGAUUAAUAAUUACUCCUCUUUAAAGCUUUUAAGAUUAAGAUGAAGAAAACAAAGAUUCUUGUACAAAGAAUCCGAUGGAGAUGGAAUAGAGAGGAAACAAACAAGGAAAAUAAACAUAUUCAAAUAAUUCCAUUCUUGACAAGUCCUGCCUGCUGGAACUUGGUGUAUCUCUUAGAUACUGUAUCUAAUGCUAUCAAGAGUCUCUACAUUAAUCUUAGCUUCUCCAGUCAGGUUAGAUUUUUUUCUCCAACAACGUUUCAUUCUGUAGAGAGAUGAGAUGCUGACUUCCUUUUUCCAUCUUGUCCUGAGGGUUCAAACUUCUGUAGCUUUUCUCCUGCCAUCCUCAAAGUGACUGAUAGUGCUAUCAGAGGAGGAAAGCCCCAGUUGGCAGGAGGUUACUCUACCACAUUUCCGGAAGAUGGGAACUCCAUACCUGUUGCCAUUACUCUUGCCCUCUCAGUUGUCUGUAAUAGUGUCACUGGCCUCGGCGUGGUGGCGUGUGCUUGUAGUCCCAGCUACUCCGAAGGCUGAGGUAGGAAAAUCCCUUGAACCCGGGAGGUGGAGGUUGCUGUGAGCUGAGAUCACGCCACUGCACUCCAGUCUGGUGAUAGAGCGAGACUCCUUUA